rnacentral:rRNA from 1 species
CCUACGGGUGGCAGCAGUGAGGAAUAUUGGUCAAUGGACGAGAGUCUGAACCAGCCAAGUAGCGUGAAGGAUGACUGCCCUAUGGGUUGUAAACUUCUUUUAUAUGGGAAUAAAAUGUUCCACGUGUGGGAUUUUGUAUGUACCAUAUGAAUAAGGAUCGGCUAACUCCGUGCCAGCAGCCGCGGUAAUACGUAGGAGCCUAGCGUUAUCCGGAUUUAUUGGGCUUAAAGGGGGCGUAGGUGGUUUCUUAAGUCAGAGGUGAAAGGCGACGGCUCAACCGUAGUAAGCCUUUGAAACUGGGGGACUUGAGUGCAGGAGAGGAGAGUGGAAUUCGUGGUGUAGAGGUGAAAUGCGUAGAUAUCACGAAGAACACCGGUUGCGAAGGCAGCUCUCUGGACUGUAACUGACACUGAGGCACGAAAGCGUGGGUAGCAAACAGGAUUAGAUACCCUGGUAGUC